AACAAAAGUAGAAAUAUCUUGUUUUAGAAAGGGACAAAUUAUUCUUUAAAAAAUACAUAAUUUAUCGCAAAUGUUUAUCGCAAAAUUUGAUCUAAGCGUCACUGAUGAGUCUUAUGUAGACGAAACGCGCGUUUGGCGUAUUAAAUUAUAACUCUGGUACCUUUGAUAACUAUUUAUACUAGUAGUAGUAUCAUUUUUUUCUCCACCCGCAACGCAAAUGCCAAAC
rnacentral:lncRNA from 1 species